UGGGUCUCGCUCGUUACCUGACUUAACAGGAUGCUUCACAGUACGAACUGACGACGGCCAUGCACCACCUCUCAGCUAAUCCGGCAAAGUCUUCAGCCUGGCCUUCAUAUUGCUGUCGGUCCCGGUAAGAUUUCCGGCGUUGAAUCCAAUUAAACCGCAAGCUCCACCCGUUGUGGUGCUCCCCCGCCAAUUCCUUUAAGUUUCAGCCUUGCGGCCGUACUUCCCAGGCGGCUCGCUUCACGGCUUCCCUACGGCACCGACAACGGUCGCACCGUGGCCGACACCUAGCGAGUAUCGUUUACGGCUAGGACUACCCGGGUAUCUAAUCCGGUUCGUGCCCCCUAGCUUUCGUCCCUUGCCGUCAGGUCCGUUCUGGUGAGACGCCUUCGCCACUGGUGGUCCUUCAAGGAUUACAAGAUUUCACCCCUUACCCCUGAAGUACCUCUCACCUCUCCCGGCCUCGAGCCAGACAGUAUCUCCUGAAAGCCUGACAGUUAAGCUGCCAGAUUUCUCAAGAGACUUAUCCGGCCGGCUACAGACCCUUUAGACCCAAUAAUAACGGUUACCACUCGAGCCGCCGGUGUUACCGCGGCGGCUGGCACCGGUCUUGCCCGGCCCUUGCUAUGAAAUGCUUUUUAGGCAUCUCGACAGCCAGAUUUGUAACCUGGCACUCGAGGUUCCCUUAUCGCUGUUGCCAGCAUUGUAAAGUUUUCGCGCCUGCUGCACCCCGUAGGGCCUGGAUUCGUGUCUCAGAAUCCAUCUCCGGGCUCUUGCUCUCACAACCCGUACCCGUCGUAGGCUAGUAGGUACGCUACACCCACUACUACCUGAUAGGCCGCAGACCCAUCCUUAGGCGCCGGAGCUUUUAAUCUCGGUGCAUUCCAGCAGCCGAGACUUAUAGGGGAUUAUACCCAGUUUCCCGGGUUUAUACCCAACCUAAGGGCAGGUUGUCCACGUGUUACUGAGCAGUACGCCAUGUAUUGCUACAUUCGACUCGCAUGGCUUAGUCGGACCUCGAUAGCAGUAACCUCUGGCAGGAUCAACCGGA
rnacentral:rRNA from 1 species